CUGACAGUAUUAAGAGUUCUUAAUUCGGGUCCAUUCGUAAAGGGAGGGACCUCAAAGGCUGAAUGUUUGAGAAAAAUAAAGGUGAAGAGGAAGGUGAGACCGUGGGAGGUAAAGCAAAAACAGUAAUUUCUACACAAAACAUAGAAGGACAUAAAAGACCCAGGGGACUCCUCGUUUCGUCCCUUCCCUCGCGCACGUUCAUACCCUCCUAACUAACCGCUAGUUAGUUCUCCAACGUCCCUUGGAGCCCGUUAGAAACGAAUGUUUGAUAAAGCAGGCUUUCCUUGCAAGCAAGACUUAUUCCUUCACAGUAUUCCCGAAUUUAUAUUCCCUGCGUUAAACUCCAUCAGCUAGACAACUACAAGAAAACCAUGACUCAAAGCAAGUGUCUAAAAUGUUUUAAAUGAGUUUAUCUUUUGGAAAACAUGCUCAUGGAAACUGCCUGGUGCUCACAACCGCAGUUUUAGCACAAAUGGAUUCUCUUCAUUCACUGGUAUUUCUUGUAAAUCCAGAAGAAGGCUUUAAUAUUCUGACAGCAACACAGUGCUGAAAGCAGGCAAAUUUUUGAAUUCCACACAGCACUGAACCAAAGGCAAGGUCUACUGCAGUAAAAAAAACAAAAACAAAAACAAAACAACCAACCAAAAGGAAAAAAAAAAAAAGCUGUUUAAACACACACAAUGGAUUAAUGGAUUAGGCAAGCCACACACAAUGUGGUGUUCACAUGGCUGCUCCUCUGGCCCAACCUUCAAAUGGUCUCACCCUGAAGCCAUCCAUCUCUUUAUUAAGCUAUGUUCCUCUAAUUAAACUGAAUUUAGCUCCCACAGUUUCCUAAUUAUGACAACUGAGAACCAUGAGGUAUAUACAAGAAAAUAUAUAAGGAUCAUGAAACAAUAAAAACUAGCAAGGUAAGGAUGAUUCAGGUGAGGUAUGUCACUCCACUGACCAUGGGUUCAUUUAGCAUAGUCAUCUGACUGACCAGAUUUAGAAAUGCACCUUCUAGAAGCUGCCCAUUGGACAGAAAAGGAUAAUCUUCCUGUAAAAUAAUAGUAAUAGUUUUUUUUUAAGUUAAUGUGAACAAAUGAAUACUGGCCAAAAAAAACU